rnacentral:lncRNA from 1 species
CAUUUUGCUCCUGGCACCAGCCAAAUAUGUCCUCAUUAAGUAAAAUUUAUGCUAAUACCAUUCUGAUUAGCCAACAGUCAUUGAUAUUCACUCUCAUUAGCUAAAUUGGUUCGCUGGAAGACAUCCCACUGAGGAUUUUUUUUUCUGUUUUAAGUGGAAUAUAAAAUGUAUGGAUUCGCAGAGAUGGCAGAUGAUGAUAAUUAUACCCUGUGUUUACUCGAGCAGUUUUUAUCCUAAAGGCUCCCAAAGUACUUUGCAGCAUUUACAUCUGUGAGGAGAGAGAGGACUCUUUUUUCCCCUUCUGAAAAAGAGCCUCUGUCAGAGAUAGAGAAGCUGUUCUGUUUUCAGUGUUAUUAGGACAGAUUGCACAAAGGAAUCUUCCAUUCUGAGUUAAGGAGCACUUUUUAAUGAAGCAGAAUGCUGGUCAUUUCAUAUCAAAUCUAGCUGGGGAAUAAGCUGAAUUCAUGCAGUAAUGGGACUUUCUACAAGCAAUCUUUUUGGAGUGACCUUGCAGCUCUGACUCAGGCAGAACAUCUCUGGGAGUGUUGCCUGCAGUAAUAUUGCAAGAUGAGCCUCAUUGUGAGCUUUUUGUUAAAAUUGCAAGAAUUCUGUAAGCCCACUCUUACAGAACAUGGUUGAGAAGACUGAUUAUUUCAGUUGUGAGAGAAUUUUAGUUUGUUUUCUUGUGUUAAAAAUACAUGAUUAAUUCAAGCCAUGGUUUAGUACAGUCUGGUAUGCUGCUGUGAUGAAUUAUCAUGCAUUUUCUGUUAACUCCCUUGAAGGGCUCGUGUUAUUCAGGAAUGACCAAGUAGACAGCUGUUAUUGCCAAGGCUGCCAACCAGCAAGCAGAUGGCAACGACCAUUGACCAUCAGCAACGGCAAGACGGGAAACGCCUGCAGUGACCUUCACUGGCUUCGAAAUUCCUUGGAGUGGUUUGCAUUAGGUAGUCAGCUGAAACUUCCAAAGCACAUGCUGAGGAGGAGGAGAAGGUCAGAGACCAUGGCUGAACCAACACAUCCCCUGACCGUCCUGGAGGGAGCCCUGAGGGGCAGUCAGCCCUCUUGGCCACCCUUUUAA